rnacentral:rRNA from 1 species
UACGGAGGGUGCAAGCGUUGUCCGGAAUCACUGGGCGUAAAGGGCGCGUAGGCGGCUCAUGAAGGCUGUGGUGAAAGUCCGGGGCUCAACCUCGGAUCGGCCGUGGCGACUCGUGGGCUGGAGCACUGUAGAGGCGGGUGGAAUUCCGGGUGUAGCGGUGGAAUGCGUAGAGAUGUGGAGGAACACCAGUGGCGAAGGCGACUCUUUGGCCUGUAACUGACGCUGAGGCGCGAAAGCGUGGGGAGCAAACAGG